rnacentral:rRNA from 1 species
CCUACGGGAGGCUGCAGUGGGGAAUAUUGGACAAUGGGGGGAACCCUGAUCCAGCCAUGCCGCGUGUGUGAAGAAGGCCCUCGGGUUGUAAAGCACUUUCAGUGAGGAAGAACGCCUGGUGGUUAAUACCCAUCAGGAAAGACAUCACUCACAGAAGAAGCACCGGCUAACUCCGUGCCAGCAGCCGCGGUAAUACGGAGGGUGCGAGCGUUAAUCGGAAUUACUGGGCGUAAAGCGCGCGUAGGUGGCUUGAUAAGCCGGUUGUGAAAGCCCCGGGCUCAACCUGGGAACGGCAUCCGGAACUGUCAAGCUAGAGUGCAGGAGAGGAAGGUAAAAUUCCCGGUGUAGCGGUGAAAUGCGUAGAGAUCGGGAGGAAUACCAGUGGCGAAGGCGGCCUUCUGGACUGACACUGACACUGAGGUGCGAAAGCGUGGGUAGAAAACAGGAUUAGAUACCCGUGUAGUC